AUACGGAGGGUGCAAGCGUUACUCGGAAUCACUGGGCGUAAAGCGCGCGCAGGCGGGCUGAUAAGUUGGAUGUGAAAGCCUACGGCCCAACCGUAGAACUGCAUCCAAAACUGUCAGUCUAGAGUGUGGGAGAGGAAGAUGGAAUUAGUUGUGUAGGGGUAAAAUCCGUAGAGAUAACUAGGAAUACCAAAAGCGAAGGCAAUCUUCUGGAACACUACUGACGCUGAGGCGCGAAGGCGUGGGGAGCAAACAGGAUUAGAAACCCCAGUAGUCC
rnacentral:rRNA from 1 species